rnacentral:rRNA from 1 species
UACGGAGGAUGCGAGCGUUAUCCGGAUUUAUUGGGUUUAAAGGGUGCGCAGGCGGACUGUUAAGUCAGCGGUAAAAUGUCGGGGCUCAACCCCGUCGUGCCGUUGAAACUGAUGUUCUUGAGUGGGCGAGAAGUAUGCGGAAUGCGUGGUGUAGCGGUGAAAUGCAUAGAUAUCACGCAGAACUCCGAUUGCGAAGGCAGCAUACCGGCGCCCAACUGACGCUGAAGCACGAAAGUGUGGGGAGCAAACAGG